CUGACAUUGUCUCAGUGCACUGAUUCAGGAAGCCCCUCUAGUGGUCAUCUGAGUGACUGCACCUACAGUAUCUCACAAAAGGGAGUACACAGCAAAUUUACACUGUUACACAGGCUGUACACGUACUACUUUACAUUGUAGCAGAGUGUCAUUUCUUCAGUGUUGACACAUGAACAGAUAUAAAAUAAUUACAAAACUGUGAAG